CUGCUAAAUAUUGGUAAACAUUCUCUUUGAAUGAGGUUUGCAAUGUUGAAAUCAUGUCGUUGCUUUCAAUUGCUACCUUGAUUAUUCAAAGAAAAAAGCCGACCGCACCGCAAUAUCGCAAGGUUGAUUCACCAUAGUAAGCCAUAAAAGAUACAUAUGUUAUCUUAUCGCUUAUCAGCAAGAAUCAUAGACCUAUUACAACUACAAGUGAAGAAUACAGGCAAGGCAGAAUCCUAAAUUUUCUGUUGAUGUAAAUUAUAUUCUAACAAAGUAAAAAAAAAAAUUGUAUAGAGCAAUGGAUAACCAACCUAGUAUUGUUGAAGCAGAUGCUGUUCAUCAUAGGUUGAGUAAUCAAGUCAAUACAGUCAAAGAUUUUCCCUAUAGAUGCUAUGACUGCCCACAGUUAUUUACUAGAUUGGAAGACUUGGCUCAGCAUUCCAUUAAAAACCCAACCCACAGUGAAGAAAUGUGUUUAAAGUGCAAGAAAUCCAUUGUUGUAUUCUUUACAUCUAAAUGUGCAGUGAGAAUUCACUCUUGUAACAAAUCUGAUGUUUGUCACAAUCAUUCAGAUCUUCACUUUCACAGUCAGUUCCUUUUUACCAAAUUAAAUUCAUCAGGUUUGAUUCCUGAUUACACUGUUAUAGGAUGUGACCUUCAGAGCUGUGAAGCUAGUUUUGAUUUUUCAGCCAAUGGUAUCUUUAAGUAUUUGAAACACGUCAACAGAUACAAGCACACAACUGUUCCUGAUUGCAGAAAAUGUGCGUUACCAGAAUUCCAAUUAAGUGUCGGAGGAGAGAAGACCAUUUCCCACUAUUGUGUGAAAACUGGAAAAAUUAUCUGUGUUGUGAAACCUGUAUUGUCAGUUUCUAGUCGUUAGAAAUCGUUCUUUUUUGCGCCUGUUUAUCAUGAAAUGUUUUUUCUUUUAUGUUUAACUACUUCCCUAUCCUCCUUAUUAACAAAAAAACCCGCGAUUUACAUGUCUACAAAUUGACACACCCAGAUGUUUUUGUGAUGUUUGGCAACAAUGUUUAGUCGUUAAGGAAAUUUCUAAUGUUUAUCAACAAAAAAUUCGGGACACACGGGAAAAAAAGAAUACAGAUAAAAACAUUGACCUCUAUUCAUAUAUGGCUUGCUGAAUUAUACAUAUGUACUGUUAAGCUGUAUGGUUUGACUGAACACGCCCGUGUUCAGUUUUCCUCUGAAUUUUUUCAAGUCUUUGCUGGACUUUGGAAGAAUAUAGAUGGAUGAGUAUUCAGGCGGAAUUGAAGAAACAGAUGCAGUUCAUCAUCGAUUGGCUGGAGAGUCCCCAGCUAUAGAGAAGAAUUACCAAUGCUACAACUGUAAUCAGUCAUUCUGUUCCUUGGUAGACCUUGGCAACCACUCCCAAAACUUACCUUGGCACAGUGUGGAGAUUUGUUUAAAUUGUACGGAUCCCAUCACAGUGUUUGUACAGAAAUUUCCAUUUAAAGUUGUCCGCCUUCACACAUGCAAGAGGUCCCAUCUUCGCUACCAAAACUCAGACCUUCACCUUCUUUCUAUUCAGAUUUCUAAAAUUCUUUGCUGGAAUGAGAAAACACAGCAUCAGUCUGUGAUUUUUUGUGAUACCUGUAAUGAGUUGUUUUCUCAGACCCCAUUGGGUCUUUUUGAGUUUUUAGUUCAUUCCAAUUUAACUGCACACAAUGUGAUUCCAUCAAGCCACUGUAAGAAAUGUACCAUGCCUGAAUUCAAACUGACUGGUAGCAAUUUAGAAUGUUGUAUUGCCCAUUUUUGCACCAAAGAUUCCAAUUCAAUUCUCAAGGAACUUCAAAAGAAUGUUCAAAAGAUUGAAAAACACAGUCAGACUAAAAAAUAGUCUAUCCCACAUAUAUUACUAUUUCUUGGGUUGAAUAAUAUUCCUAAUAUACAUUAUAAAAUGUCUAAUUAUUAUAAUUAUGCAAACUUGUUGACAGCAAAUAAAGACCAUGGGACCUAGGAGAGAGGAACAUUUUUGUAAUAUUCAA